AGAAGAAUAACAGGGCAAUUUCUUCUUUGGCAGAAUUAUAUCACAUAAUGUAAGACAUAUGAUUAAUGUCUCUGCCAAAGAAGAAUUGCCCUGCCAUUCCACU
rfam:Beta vulgaris subsp. vulgaris Bvchr8.sca001.con0025.1, whole genome shotgun sequence.